AGGCCUCAGGUUGGCAUGGAUUGUUUUUGUUGCCGUUUGUAGACCCGGGACUGUCUACAGAGACUGCGUUUUUUUUUACAGUGUGUUCCGGGGACAGACAGCUAGCGGACAGUAAUGAGAUGUUUUUUACAGUGUGAAC